rnacentral:lncRNA from 1 species
UCAGCCGCCGCCAGGGACUCCCUCUCCCUCCUCUCUCCUCUAGCUUCUCUCUCUUCUCCCCUCCCUGCUCUCUCACCCAGGCGCGACGCCCUGCUCCACCGCGUCCCCGACCGCGCAGAGCCCCAUCCCGAGCAGCACCGACCGCGCGCAGCUCCCACACCAAUCGACCGACGCGCCCAGGCGACCCCGGCUGGACCCGAAGCACCGCGCCCUAUGUGCCCCUGCACCCGACGCGCCGCCAGGGCCAAGCGCCCGAUGCCUCGCCAGGGAGAGCAGCGGACCGCGCCCAGCGCCUAGCCCGAGCCGACCCCGACGCCGCCGAGCCACAAACCGUUCCGUGCCGGCCGUUCCUCCGCGUUAAUGGAGUUUACUGCAGCCGUAACUCCUCCCUCCAUUGAUGCCGACACCAUUAUUGGCCAUGAAGCACCUCCAGCCGACCCUUCAUCUCUCUCCCAUCCUCUAUAAAAGGGCAGCCGAGCUCCUCUCUUCUCCCUCCCACAACUGAGCUCUCUUCCUCCCCGAGCUCCCUCUCUCUCCCACUCACCCACGCCAUCGCCGGAGUUCGUCCACGCCGCUCGCCGUCGUACCUCGCUGUCAGAAUGCUCACCGACGACCGUGCCCGUUCUUUGCCCGCCAAGACCGCCGUUUAUCCCAAGGUUGAAGACAACCCCAAAUUGUUGACGUAUUUUCUAAAUCAUGUUUUGAAUUUAUGGAUCUUGUGAAUUGUCCUUGUAAUAUUGAUGCGAUCUUGGCAAUUCGUGUAUGAUUUUAGAGAUUUGCGAUAUAUACGUGAAAGCAAAAUCAAACCCCGCGACAAUAUUUUAAAUAUGCGUAUGAUUUUAUAAUUCUAAAAAUGAACACGAUCACUAUUCACUACCUUAGUGAUUUUCAUACUAGAAAUGUUUAUAAUUAAUUUUGUUUUAUUGUGUGGAACAAUAAUUGUUAAUAGUAUUUUAAGUGUAAAUUUAGUUGUAUGAAGAAAUUGAAAUAGGCACUAAGUCAUGUAUUUUCUAGUCAAAUGAAAACAUGUAUUCUACUAUUCAUAAUAAAUGAAUUCAUAAGUAUAGCACUUAAGUACUUAGAAUAGUAAAAUGCUCAUUUAUGUCAUAAUAACCACGAGUAGGUUAUUAAAAGUCCCAUUUAGUAAUUUACAAUUAAUUCUAGUAUAUUAAUGUUAAAAGCAUUAAAAAACAAUAUUUAGUUAUACGUAUAAAUUCUAUUUAGAAAAGAAAGGAGAAAACCGAAAUAAUAGAAUUUUAUAAUAAUAUUAAAAUAACUUAAUUAGGCACUCAUGCUUUCCUAAUAAAGAAAUUGAUAGUUAUGUUGGUAAAUAUAGGUUUCUUACUAAAGAAUUAGAUAAUUUGUUUCUAACUUUAAAAUGACCUUUUUAGUAGAUAUCAUGUUUUUGAUUUAACAAGGUUCAUUAUAGAUGUUUAAGUAUAGCGGUAUUAAAUAGAAACUUAAAAUAAUAUGUAGACAUAUGUUUCUAAAUAAAAAUAGAAAAUAAACAUAUAGAUUAUUUUCAAUUUGUUAAUUAAAAGAUAACGUGAGUCAUUGUUUUUAUAAACUAAAAUGAUAGUUUAUACAUAAUUUCCUUUCUAAUAAAUUAGAUCAUUUGUUCUUACAAUAGAAUUAAAGACAAUUAAUAUAUUAAUUAUCCUUUAUCAUAAUUUAUUAACCAAACCGAUAGUCAAUUUGUUCUUAACUAAAUUUAUGGCAUGAUUAAUGAUUUCAUAAAAUUUAGUCCACAUUAUAUACGAAUCACUUAGCUUUUCCUAAAGGAUAAAAUAAAGUAAUAGGAGUUUAAGUUCUUUUAAACUUAAAAUAUUACUUUAUAUAUUAACUUUGAAUAUAAUAAUAUAGGCUAUGUGUUUUCUAAUGAAAAUAAAAUAUGGUUAUUUGUUCAUUAUCUUUUGCAUGAAAAUCCACUUAAGGGCCUAUAACUUAGUUUUUCAUAAAAUAGGUAUGUAAUAAUAAUGAUCUUUUCAUAUAAAACCUAUUUAGACGUAUAUCUUAGUUUAUCAUAAGGGAAGGUUUAACAAUGAAUUAUAAUGCGUUCCAUAAUGCUUCUAAAAUUAAUAAGGUAUUUCAUAAUUCAUUAACCUUAGAUUUAUAACUUAUAUCUUUUCUAAAAGGUUAAAAGGUUUAAUAAUAAUGCUAUAAUGUGUUUUAUCAUCUUAUGAACCCUUAAUCUUAGACAUAUCACACAUGACGUUUUAUAAAGGAUUAAAUUGGUGAACCAAAUAUUUGUAUAUUUUAAUUAAGAUAUUUUUAUGCUCAUGUCUUGUUCUAUAAAGUAUAGAUCACACAUUUUUGAAAACAAAUACCUUCUUAUUAUAACCAUUACUUGCGACGUUUUUGAAAAACGAACGCUCUUUUUGUUAGGCUUUCUUUUAGCUUUACGUAUGGUGAAUGUUGUAUGUUAUUGAGUGGUGUUUGUUUCUUCUUGUUUGUUUGUGUGAUAUUCAGUGAUUGAUCUAAUAGUUGAGAAUCAAGUGCUAUUCUGUGGAAGAACCUCAAGUUUUCAAUAAGCAAGGCAAGUGGACUUCUCCCUCUGCAUACUCUGUUUGAUCCCAAACAAUACAUUUAACAAAGUUUAUUCUUCGAUGAAUAUAUGCAUAAUUUGAUGGGUUACCUAUUUAGAUACCCCUAACCUUUCCAACCUUACUCCUUGUUUAACCUGGGAUUAUGAUCUAAUCAAGUAGCUAUGCUAUUGCUACAACUUUAAAUUUAUGCAGCCACUCCCGCUUAUGAUAUUAAUGUUCCAAAUGGUAAGUUUACAGUAUUGUUGUUAACCCGAUGGUUAAACAAGAUUAUUGCAUAUUAAUUGGAACAUGGAGUGACCACCCGGGAAAACAGUGCUACCAUGAGGACUAUCAUGGCUCUGGUCUUGGCUAAAUAACUAGGGAAGUCUUAUGUUGGGUGUUGGUCGUGGUCGACCGGAACAGGGACAUCUAGCAAGCACUUAUAGUACCGGCUCAGGCAGAUUGGAUACGUGCAUAGUUCCCAAAGCUUUACCCUGUGGUCCGAACUAUAAGUUGGUUACGGUAGGUGUGCCUUAUGCAGUUUGACCAUUUCCAGCAUUUGCGUAAUGAGGACUCUAGGGAGAAGCCUCGUAGUGAGACCCUGGACAUUCACCUUGGAAGUGAAUACGGGUCUAGCUAACCCGGGCUAGAAGGGAAUCACGACUCAUGGGUAAAGAUGCGCCAUCUCUGCAAAGUGUAAAACUGAUAUAUCAGCCGUGCUCCCGGUUAAGAGCAGCCUGGACUCCUCACAUGAUAACUGAACUUGAAGAUGGAAAUAAAUCGAGAUCCGAUGAUCUGUCAAUGGUUUGCUUAAGUGGUUUCACUUAAGUGUUUUUGAUAUACUCUUAUACCUUUGUUUAAUGGGAAUACUUGGGAUUCACACUUAUUAGUAAGACAGGUGUUGUUAAUAAAAUGUUGACCAACUAAAAUGCUUACUGCUCAACCUUAGCCUCACCUUGUUACCUUGCAUUAGUUUUUCCCCCACUUGCUAAGCCCCGACCAUAAGUGAGCUCACCCUUGCUUAAUUUUGAUCAGAAGUUGCAGAUGAAGAUAUGAUGCUGA